GGUAAACCCACCAGGUGAGGUCACACCACAGAGGCCCCAGAAGAUUCACCACUUACCAAAGCAGCCAGGCAUGUGCUGGGGAGGAAUCCCAGCACCACAGGAAUGUUGGAGUACCUCUCUUCAGAGGGCCGGGGCAGAGGAUGCCAAGAAAACACAGUGAGGAAAGGAUUAUCUCUUCAGUGUUGGGAAAACUGGAUAUCCACAUGCAGAAGAAUGAAACUGGAACUUUACCUCACAUUAUGUACAAAAAUCAACUAAAAAUAGAUUAAAGACAAAAACCUAAGACUGGAGACUACAAAACUAUUAGAAGAAGAAAACACAGGGGUAAGCUUCUUGACAUUGACCUGGGUAAUGAUUUUUUUGGACACGACACUAAAAGCACAAGCAAAAAGGCAAAAAUAGACAAGUGGACUGCAUCAAACUGAAAAGCUUCUGCACAGCAAAGGAAACAAAAGAGUGGAAAAGGCAACCUAUGGGAUGAGAGAAAGUAUUUGAAAACCAUGCAUCUGAUAAGGGGUAAAUAAAUAUCCAAAAUAUAUAAGGAACUCAUACAACUCAGCC
rnacentral:lncRNA from 1 species